rnacentral:rRNA from 1 species
GACGUAGGGCGCGAGCGUUGUCCGGAUUUAUUGGGCGUAAAGAGCUCGUAGGCGGUUUGUCGCGUCGAAUGUGAAAUCUCAGGGCUCAACUCUGACAUUGCAUUCGAUACGGGCAGGCUCGAGUUCGGUAGGGGAGACUGGAAUUCCUGGUGUAGCGGUGAAAUGCGCAGAUAUCAGGAGGAACACCGGUGGCGAAGGCGGGUCUCUGGGCCGAUACUGACGCUGAGGAGCGAAAGCGUGGGGAGCGAACAGG